AUAAUAAAAAAAGAAGAUAAUUGAACACUGUUCAUCAUCUUCUUCCCGUGAGAAUAAAUUUUUUUAAAGUUUUUAUGUUUUAAAUUCUUGACAUUUCUUGUUGUUAAUUUCUUGAAAUUUCCUCGUUUUUAGCUUGAUUUAGUGUUUUUCAUCUGGGUUCUUAACAUUUUCUGAGAUUAUUGGUUCCGUUCCGGCAGAUUUUUGAGUUAGAUUUUUUGUGAGGAAAAUGGAAUUUAGGUGAAGAAAAUGGGUUAGAUUUCUAGGUUCUUGAAAAUUUCCUGAGAUUCUUGAACUUUGUCCAUGAGAUUGUUCCGGUCCCCGUUUGUAUGAUGAUGAAACCGACUAGGAGGCCGUCGAAGGUUCGCCACACGAAGGUGGAGGAACAGGGUGGGAAAAUCCAAUGGCCACCAUGUGUGCGCCAAAGAUCUUUCAACUGACCCGGGAACCCGACCACAGUUCUGACGGAGGCACUCUACCCAGAGAGUGGGAAUGGGGGUGUAGGGUGGGGGCUGUAGUGGGAGGUUGGGAGGGGAAGAAGAUGAUGAACAGUGUUCAAUCAUCUCCUUAUUCUUAUUUUUUAUGUUUCAAGUUUUUAAUUAUAAAAACUAAAAAUUGUUUUUUAAUAUUUAAAUCUUUUUAUUUCACAAAAUAAUAUUUUAAUAAAUUUGUGAGAUCCAUUUAAAUGUCAUGUCAGCACUUAACAUAAUUUUUAACCGAAAUAUGACGAAAUGACCACAUUAAUUUGCCACACUCAUUUUCAGGGACUACAUUGAUUAAUUUUCAAUUUCAAUGACCAACUUGAUAGAAUUGGUCAAUUUCAAUAAUCAUUUGUGAUAAAAACUACAACAAUAUAUUAAAAAAACUUACCAACUAGCUUUUUUCUUAGUGUUACUUUUUCUCAAAAACUACAAUAAUAUAAAAAAAAUAAAUGGUCUGUUCACGUACAAGACAUCUGUGUUAAGGGCACUUCCAGGGGUGUGCUUUCCCCCGAGGGACAGGCCCGCGAACAGUGGUAGAGAGCCCGAGCAACCAAGCCUAACUUGUGCUGGCGAUGGAGCCCGAGGGAGAGGCCCAGCAAGCGUUGCCAGCCCGAAGGCAACUUGACGUGGGCUGACGUCAGUCACAAUAUUUAAUUAAUAAAAAUAUAAAAUAUUAAUAAAAAAAGUAAAAUUAAAAAAAAUUGUAAAACCCAGGCUUCGAACCCAACGGCUCUCGCUGGAGUUUGUCGCCGAGGUUGAUGAACACCCACAGACAAAUGGCAGAGAUCUAGUCCUUCCUCCGCCGCAGCUGCCGCCGCACUCCACACCGCCUUCGCCCCCACGCACUCGCGAUCUUCCUCCUUCCAUUGGCGCGCCAAGAUCGCACGAUUUGGGAUUUGUUUUUGGGGGAAAGAGGAGAGAGAGAGAGAGAGUUUGGUUAGGGAGCGGGGAUGAUCGGGACCAUUGAUGGAGGCUGAGGUGGGUGGGAUGGUGAAGAUGGAGGAAGAGAGGCGAGGAGGGUUUGGGUGCGUUGGGGGGAGGGGGAGGGGGACACGGGUUAAAAGUCUGGGUGCUGGUUGAAAAAGAAAGCUGUUGAGUUUGAAAAAGAAAGAAAAAAAAAACAGAGCUUGGUGAGUUGGCACCAUGUGAAAAGAAGAAGAAAAAUAAUAAUAAUAAUAAAAAUUUUGGAAUGGUGCAUCGGCACCAUGUGAAAAUAACAAAGGUUUUGCACCAUGUGAAAAGAAAAAAUUAAAAAUAAUAAAAAUAAAAUUUUUAAUAGAAAGUGAUACAACGAAACCG
rnacentral:lncRNA from 1 species